CCAAUAGCGUAUAUUAAAGUUGUUGCAGUUAAAAAGCUCGUAGUUGAAUUUCGGGAUCAGUAGGUUGGUCAUGCCUAUGGUAUGCACUGGCUUUACUGGUUCCUCCUUCUUGAUGAUCUGUAAUGUCAUUAAUUUGGUGUUGCAGGGAGUCAGGACUGUUACUUUGAAAAAAUUAGAGUGUUUAAAGCAGGCAUACGCUUGAAUACAUUAGCAUGGAAUAAUGAAAUAGGACGUUCGAUCCUAUUUUGUUGGUUUCUAGGAUUGACGUAAUGAUUAAUAGGGAUAGUUGGGGGCAUUAGUAUUCAAUUGUCAGAGGUGAAAUUCUUGGAUUUAUUGAAGACUAACUACUGCGAAAGCAUUUGCCAAGGAUGUUUUCAUUAAUCAAGAACGAAAGUUAGGGGAUCGAAGACGAUCAGAUACCGUCGUAGUCUUAACCAUAAACUAUGCCGACUAGGGAUCGGAUGAUGUUAUUUUUAAUGACUCAUUCGGCGCCUUACG
rnacentral:rRNA from 1 species